rnacentral:rRNA from 1 species
AGCCACAGCCAUAUCACCCUGCAGCCCAAGACUGGUUGCCCACUGAAGCUAAGCAGGGUUGAGCUGGUCAGUACCUGGAUGGGAGACCUCCUGGGAAAACUAGGUUGCUGUUGGAA